UACGUAGGGACCGAGCGUUGUCCGGAAUCAUUGGGCGUAAAGAGCGUGUAGGCGGCCACUUAAGUCCUGCGUGAAAUCUUGCGGCUCAACCGCAAGCGGUCGUGGGAAACUGGGUGGCUAGAGUGCGGGAGAGGAGAGUGGAAUUCCUGGUGUAGCGGUGGAAUGCGCAGAUAUCAGGAAGAACACCCGUGGCGAAGGCGCUCUCUGGAACGCAACUGACGCUGAGACGCGAAAGCGUGGGGAGGCAAACAGG
rnacentral:rRNA from 1 species